rnacentral:rRNA from 1 species
UACGUAGGUGGCAAGCGUUGUUCGGAAUUACUGGGCGUAAAGGGCGCGUAGGCGGCGCGGUAAGUCACUUGUGAAAUCUCUGAGCUUAACUCAGAACGGCCAAGUGAUACUGCAGUGCUAGAGUGCAGAAGGGGCAAUCGGAAUUCUUGGUGUAGCGGUGAAAUGCGUAGAUAUCAAGAGGAACACCUGAGGUGAAGACGGGUUGCUAGGCUGACACUGACGCUGAGGCGCGAAAGCCAGGGGAGCAAACGGG